CCUACGGGGGGCAGCAGUGAGGAAUAUUGGUCAAUGGGCGCGAGCCUGAACCAGCCAAGUAGCGUGAAGGAUGACUGCCCUACGGGUUGUAAACUUCUUUUAUAAGGGAAUAAAGUGAGGCACGUGUGCCUUUUUGUAUGUACUUUAUGAAUAAGGAUCGGCUAAUUCCGUGCCAGCAGCCGCGGUAAUACGGAGGAUCCGAGCGUUAUCCGGAUUUAUUGGGUUUAAAGGGAGCGUAGGUGGGCGUUUAAGUCAGUUGUGAAAGUUUGCGGCUCAACCGUAAAAUUGCAAUUGAUACUGGCAGUCUUGAGUGCAGUUGAGGUAGGCGGAAUUCGUGGUGUAGCGGUGAAAUGCUUAGAUAUCACGAAGAACUCCGAUUGCGAAGGCAGCUUACUGGACUGUCACUGACGCUGAUGCUCGAAAGUGUGGGUAUCAAACAGGAUUAGAUACCCGGGUAGUC
rnacentral:rRNA from 1 species